AUGAAGCCCAUUAUGGCGGUCCGCGUUAUCGUGACGACGACGGCGGCGCCGCAACGGUAAACACUAAAAGUUGAAACUCAUUUUGCACCGCGCGUUGUCAACACACUCGGCGGAGGCGCGAAGCCUGUGGAUGACAUUCGAUUCCCUUUGAACGCCCGUUAUAUUCUCCUCGUCUUCUCCCCUCAGAGUUUUUUUUUCUUUUUCUUUUUUUUCACCGUCUGUAAUUUCUUCUAGAACGCCAUUACUUUUUUCGCGUUUCCGGCAUACC